rnacentral:rRNA from 1 species
GUAAACCCAAGGUUUCCAGGGGAAGGUUCGUCCGCCCUGGGUUAGUCGGGACCUAAGCUGAGGCCGAAAGGCGUAGGUGAUGGACAACAGGUUGAUAUUCCUGUACUACCGAUAACCGUUUGAGAGAUGGGAUGACACAGUAGGAUAAGCUAAGCACACUGUUGGUUAUGUGUGCCCAAGCAUUGAGGCAGUCAGAGUAGGUAAAUCCGCUUUGACAAUGCUGGGAUGUGAUGGGGAGCGAAAUUUAGUAGCGAAGUAGCUGAUUUCACACUGUCAAGAAAAGUCUCUAUCGAGGUUAAAGGUACCCGUACCGCAAACCGACACAGGUGGGUGAGGAGAGUAUCCUAAGGCCCGCGAGAGAACUGUUGUUAAGGAACUCGGCAAAAUGACCCCGUAACUUAGGGAUAAGGGGUGCCACCAUACGGUGGCCGCAGAGAAUAGGCCCAAGCGACUGUUUACCAAAAACAUAGGUUUCUGCUAAGUCGCAAGACGAUGUAUAGGAGCUGACGCCUGCCCGGUGCUGGAAGGUUAAGGGGAUCUGUUAGAGCAAUCGAAGCAGUGAACUUAAGCCCCAGUAAACGGCGGCCGUAACUAUAACGGUCCUAAGGUAGCGAAAUUCCUUGUCGGGUAAGUUCCGACCCGCACGAAAGGCGUAACGAUUUGGGCACUGUCUCAACAACAGACUCGGUGAAAUUGUAAUUCCGGUGAAGAUGCCGGAUACCUGCGACAGGACGGAAAGACCCCAUGGAGCUUUACUGUAGCUUGACAUUGGGUCUUGGUACUACAUGUACAGGAUAGGUGGGAGGCUUUGAAACCAGGACGCCAGUUUUGGCGGAGCCAUCCUUGGGAUACCACCCUUGUAGUACUGGGACUCUAACCAUAGGCCAUGAAUCUGGUCUUGGGACACUGUCAGGUGGGCAGUUUGACUGGGGCGGUCGCCUCCCAAAAGGUAACGGAGGCGCUCAAAGGUUCUCUCAGUACGGUCGGAAAUCGUACGUAGAGUGUAAAGGCAA